rnacentral:rRNA from 1 species
GAUGAACGCUGGCGGCGUGCCUAAUACAUGCAAGUCGAGCGAAUGGAUUAAGAGCUUGCUCUUAUGAAGUUAGCGGCGGACGGGUGAGUAACACGUGGGUAACCUGCCCAUAAGACUGGGAUAACUCCGGGAAACCGGGGCUAAUACCGGAUAAUAUUUUGAACUGCAUGGUUCAAAAUUGAAAGGCGGCUUCGGCUGUCACUUAUGGAUGGACCCGCGUCGCAUUAGCUAGUUGGUGAGGUAACGGCUAACCAAGGCAACGAUGCGUAGCCGACCUGAGAGGGUGAGCGGGCACACUGGGACUGUGACACGGCGCAGACUCCUACAGGAGGCAGGAGUAGGGAAUCUUCCGCAAUGGACGAAAGUCUGACGGAGCAACGCCGCGUGAGUGAUGAAGGCUUUCGGGUCGUAAAACUCUGUUGUUAGGGAAGAACAAGUGCUAGUUGAAUAAGCUGGCACCUUGACGGUACCUAACCAGAAAGCCACGGCUAACUACGUGCCAGCCGCCGCGGUAA